UACGAAGGGGGGCUAGCGUUGUUCGGAAUUACUGGGCGUAAAGGGCGCGUAGGCGGUGUGUCAAGUCAGGCGUGAAAGCCCCGGGCUCAACCUGGGAACAGCGCUUGAGACUGGCACGCUCGAGUUCGGGAGAGGAUGGUGGAAUCCCAGUGUAGAGGUGAAUUCGUAGAUAUUGGGAAGAACACCGAUGGCGAAGGCAGCCAUCUGGACCGACACUGACGCUGAGGCGCGAAAGCGUGGGGAGCAAACAGG
rnacentral:rRNA from 1 species